GCCAAAUAUCUAGCCUAAAUAUUAUACAUGUCCAAUCCCCCCACCUUAGCAAAAAUAAAACAUUUUAUCUUUUAAGUAGAGGUGAUCGAAAAAUAUUUAAGCGCUUAAGAGACAGUACCGCAAGGGAAAGAUGAAAUAAAAAUGAAAUAACCUUAAGCCUUUAAAAGCAGAGAUUAAAACUCGUACCUUUUGCAUAAUGAUCUAGCUAGUCUUAUCAAGCAAAACGAAACUUUAGUUUGACCCCCCGAAACUAAGCGAGCUACUUCAAAACAGCCUAAAGAGCUAACCCGUCUCUGUAGCAAUAGAGUGGGAAGAUUUUCAAGUAGAAGUGAUAAACCUACCGAGCUUAGAGAUAGCUGGUUAUUCAGGAAAAGAAUUUUAGUUCUACUUUAAGUCCUAUAGUAAAUUAUAAUAUAACUUAAAAGUUAUUCAAUUAGGGUACAGCUUAAUUGAAAAAGGAAACAACCUAAAUAUUAGGGUAAGCAACAAGUAUUUCAAAAAGUGGGCCUAAAAGCAGCCACCUUUAAAAAAGCGUUAAAGCUUAGCUCAGAUAUCUAACAAAUUUUAUUAACAAAUACGAACCCCUCCUCCCUACUGAAUGACCCUAUAAUAAUAUAGAACUCACCAUGCUAGAACUAGUAACAUGAAUAUAUUCUCCGAAAUGUAAGCUUAAACCAAAAUGGAACUUCCACUGGUAACUAACGAAUAUGAACAAAUUACAGUAACAUAUCAAGAAAACCCUGUUAAAGCACCCGUUAACCUUACACUAGAACACUUCCGGAAGAUUAAAAGAGAGAGAAGGAACUCGGCAAACUUUGACCCCGCCUGUUUACCAAAAACAUCGCCUCUUGAUAACAUAAGAGGUCCUGCCUGCCCGGUGAUAAUAUUUAACGGCCGCGGUACCCUGACCGCGCGAAGGUAGCAUAAUCACUUGUUCUUUAAAUAGGGACUCGUAUCAACGGCAUCACGAGGGUUGCACUGUCUCCCCCCUCCAAUCAGUGAAACUGAUCUCCCCAUGAAAAAGCGGGGAUAAUAAUAUAAGACGAGAAGACCCCAUGGAGCUUUAAACCCAAUAGCAAAUUAGCAAGAUUUACUCCAAGCCAUAAAAUUAUGCUAACGGCUUUAGGUUGGGGCGACCACGGAGUAAAAAUUAACCUCCACAACGAAAAGACUUAAAUCUUUACCCAAGAGCUACCACUCCAAGAAUUAGUAAACUAACGAAUUGACCCGAUAUCGAUCAAUGAACCAAGUUACCCUGGGGAUAACAGCGCAAUCUACUUCGAGAGUUCAUAUCGACAAGUAGGCUUACGACCUCGAUGUUGGAUCAGGAUAUCCCAGUGGUGCA
rnacentral:rRNA from 1 species